rnacentral:rRNA from 1 species
GACGAACGCUGGCGGCGUGCCUAAUACAUGCAAGUUGAGCGCUGAAGGUUGGUACUUGUACCGACUGGAUGAGCAGCGAACGGGUGAGUAACGCGUGGGGAAUCUGCCUUUGAGCGGGGGACAACAUUUGGAAACGAAUGCUAAUACCGCAUAAAAACUUUAAACACAAGUUUUAAGUUUGAAAGAUGCAAUUGCAUCACUCAAAGAUGAUCCCGCGUUGUAUUAGCUAGUUGGUGAGGUAAAGGCUCACCAAGGCGAUGAUACAUAGCCGACCUGAGAGGGUGAUCGGCCACAGUGGGACUGAGACACGGCCCAAACUCCUACGGGAGGCAGCAGUAGGGAAUCUUCGGCAAUGGACGAAAGUCUGACCGAGCAACGCCGCGUGAGUGAAGAAGGUUGUCGGAUCGUAAAACUCUGUUGGUAGAGAAGAACGUUGGUGAGAGUGGAAAGCUCAUCAAGUGACGGUAACUACCCAGAAAGGGACGGCUAACUACGUG